rnacentral:ncRNA from 1 species
CACAGCGUAAGCUGGUAAGACCCCUGAAAGAUGAUCAGGUUGAUAGGCCAGGUGUGGAAGCGCGGUGACGUGUGGAGCUGACUGGUACUAAUAGGUCGAGGGCUUGACCUA